GACGAACGCUGGCGGCGUGCUUAACACAUGCAAGUCGAACGGAAAGGCCCUGCUUUUGUGGGGUGCUCGAGUGGCGAACGGGUGAGUAACACGUGAGUAACCUGCCCUUGACUUUGGGAUAACUUCAGGAAACUGGGGCUAAUACCGGAUAGGAGCUCCUGCUGCAUGGUGGGGGUUGGAAAGUUUCGGCGGUUGGGGAUGGACUCGCGGCUUAUCAGCUUGUUGGUGGGGUAGUGGCUUACCAAGGCUUUGACGGGUAGCCGGCCUGAGAGGGUGACCGGCCACAUUGGGACUGAGAUACGGACCAGACUCCUACGGGAGGCAGCAGUGGGGAAUAUGGCACAACGGGCGGAAGCCUGAGGCAGAAACGCCGCGUGCGGGAUGACGGCCUUCGGGUUGUAAACCGCUUUCGCCUGUGACGAAGCGUGAGUGACGGUAAUGGGUAAAGAAGCACCGGCUAACUACGUG
rnacentral:rRNA from 1 species